CUGAGUUUACGCUCUACAACCCUUUGUGAACAUACCUAUAACUGUUGCUUCGGCGGGUAGGGUCUCCGCGACCCUCCCGGCCUCCCGCCUCCGGGCGGGUCGGCGCCCGCCGGAGGAUAACCAAACUCUGAUUUAACGACGUUUCUUCUGAGUGGUACAAGCAAAUAAUCAAAACUUUUAACAACGGAUCUCUUGGUUCUGGCAUCGAUGAAGAACGCAGCGAAAUGCGAUAAGUAAUGUGAAUUGCAGAAUUCAGUGAAUCAUCGAAUCUUUGAACGCACAUUGCGCCCGCCAGCAUUCUGGCGGGCAUGCCUGUUCGAGCGUCAUUUCAACCCUCAAGCUCUGCUUGGUGUUGGGGCCCUACAGCUGAUGUAGGCCCUCAAAGGUAGUGGCGGACCCUCCCGGAGCCUCCUUUGCGUAGUAACUUUACGUCUCGCACUGGGAUCCGGAGGGACUCUUGCCGUAAAACCCCCAAUUUUCCAAAGGUUGACCUCGGAUCAGGUAGGAAUACCCGCUGAACUUAAGCAUAU
rnacentral:rRNA from 1 species